rnacentral:tRNA from 1 species
CAUUAAAUGACUGAUUUUAAGUUUUGAUCUUUUAAAUCAACUAUAAUAGGUUUAUACUAUUUUUAAUGA